AUGAACGCUAGCGGCAGGCUUAAUACAUGCAAGUCGAACGGUAACAUGAGUAGCAAUACUUGAUGACGAGUGGCGCACGGGUGCGUAACGCGUAUGCAAUCUACCUUCAACUGGUGAAUAGCCCGAAGAAAUUCGGAUUAACACACCAUAGUAUAUUAGAGUGGCAUCACUUUAAUAUUAAAACUCCGGUGGUUGAAGAUGAGCAUGCGUGACAUUAGCUUGUUGGUGAGGUAACGGCUCACCAAGGCAACGAUGUCUAGGGGAUCUGAGAGGAUUAACCCCCACACUGGUACUGAGACACGGACCAGACUCCUACGGGAGGCAGCAGUAAGGAAUAUUGGACAAUGGUCGCAAGACUGAUCCAGCCAUGCCGCGUGAAGGAUGAAGGCCCUAUGGGUUGUAAACUUCUUUUGUACGGGAAAAAACCCCUCUACGUGUAGAGGGCUGAUUGUACCGUAAGAAUAAGGAUCGGCUAACUCCGU
rnacentral:rRNA from 1 species